rnacentral:rRNA from 1 species
CGAAGGUAGCAUAAUCAGUAGUCUUUUAAUUGAAGGCUGGAAUGAAUGGUUGGACGAAGUAUUAACUGUUUCAUUUAAAUUUUAAAUAGAAUUUUAUUUUUUAGUUAAAAAGCUAAAAUAAUAUUAAAAGACGAGAAGACCCUAUAAAUCUUUAUAUUUAUUAUAUUUUAAUUAUGCAGAUUAUUUUAAUUAUUAUUUAAAUAAAUAUUUUAUUGGGGUGAUAUUAAAAUUUAAUAAACUUUUAUUUUUAAUAAACAUUAAUUUAUGAUUAAUUGAUCCAGUAUUAGUGAUUAAAAAUUUAAGUUACUUUAGGGAUAACAGCGUAAUUUUUUUGGAGAGUUCAUAUCGAUAAAAAAGAUUGCGACCUCGAUGUUGGAUUAA